rnacentral:rRNA from 1 species
AGCAGUCGCCGCGGUAAGACAGAGGAUGCAAGCGUUAUCCGGAAUGAUUGGGCGUAAAGCGUCUGUAGGUGGCUUUUCAAGUCCGCCGUCAAAUCCCAGGGCUCAACCCUGGACAGGCGGUGGAAACUACCAAGCUGGAGUACGGUAGGGGCAGAGGGAAUUUCCAGAGGAGCGGUGAAAUGCGUUGAGAUCGAAAAGAACACCAACAGCGAAAGCACUCUGCUGGGACGACACUGACACUAAGAGACGAAAGCUAGGGGAGCAAAUGGGAUUAGAUACCCCUGUAGUCCCUGUCUCUUAUAC